CCUACGGGGGGCUGCAGUGGGGAAUAUUGCACAAUGGGGGAAACCCUGAUGCAGCGACGCCGCGUGAGUGAAGAAGUAUUUCGGUAUGUAAAGCUCUAUCAGCAGGGAAGAAAAUGACGGUACCUGUUUAAGAAGCCCCGGCUAACUACGUGCCAGCAGCCGCGGUAAUACGUAGGGGGCAAGCGUUAUCCGGAUUUACUGGGGGUAAAGGGAGCGUAGACGGCAGCACAAGUCUGGAGUGAAAUGCCGGGGCUUAACCCCGGAACUGCUUUGGAAACUGUGCAGCUAGAGUGCAGGAGAGGUAAGUGGAAUUCCUAGUGUAGCGGUGAAAUGCGUAGAUAUUAGGAGGAACACCAGUGGCGAAGGCGGCUUACUGGACUGUAACUGACGUUGAGGCUCGAAAGCGUGGGGAGCAAACAGGAUUAGAUACCCCAGUAGUC
rnacentral:rRNA from 1 species